rnacentral:rRNA from 1 species
GGUCAAGUGACGAAGCGCAUCUGGUGAAUGCCUUGGCAGCUGAAGGCGAUGAAGGACGUUGCAAUCUGCGAUAAGCCCCGGGGAGUCGAUUAGCGGACUCUGAUCCGGGGAUUUCCGAAUGGGGAAACCCAGUGUCUUCGGACAUUAUUACGUGUUGAAAGGAAGUGAUUCUUAUAGGCACGUAAGGCUAACCCGGCGAACUGAAAUAUCUAAGUAACCGGAGGAAAAGAAAUCAACCGAGAUUCCCUUAGUAGUGACGAGCGAAAAGGGAGUAGCCCAUCAAGCUGCGGAAGUGUUAGUGGAAGCUUUCUGGAAAGAAGCACGACAAAGGGUGACAGUCCCGUACGCGAAAACACCUCCGUAGUGACGUCGAGUAGGGCGGGACACGUGAAAUCCUGUCUGAAUAUAGGGGGACCAUCCUCUAAGGCUAAAUACUCUCAGCUGACCGAUAGUGAACUAGUACCGUGAGGGAAAGGUGAAAAGUACCCCUUUUAGGGGAGUGAAAUAGUACCUGAAACCGGAUGCGUACAAGCAGUAGGAGCGGCCGUUUCGACGGCUGUGACUGCGUACCUUUUGUAUAAUGGGUCAGCGACUUACUCUUGCUGGCGAGGUUAACCGUUUAGGGGAGCCGUAGGGAAACCGAGUCUUAAUAGGGCGAUGCAGUCUGUAGGAGUAGACCCGAAACCGGGCGAUCUAACCAUGGGCAGGAUGAAGGUCAGGUAACACUGACUGGAGGUCCGAACCCACCUAUGUGGAAAAAUGGGGGGAUGACCUGUGGUUAGGAGUGAAAGGCUAAUCAAGCUCGGAGAUAGCUGGUUCUCCUCGAAAACUAUUUAGGUAGUGCCUCUCAUAUCACCAUCGGGGGUAGAGCACUGUUUGGGCUAGGGGGUCAUCCCGACUUACCAACCCCAUGCAAACUCCGAAUACCGUUGAGUGUAGUGAGGGAGACAGACGGCGGGUGCUAAGGUCCGUCGUCGAAAGGGAAACAGCCCAGACCGCCAGCUAAGGUCCCCAAAUUGUGAUUAAGUGGGAAACGAUGUGGGAAGGCACAGACAGUCAGGAGGUUGGCUUAGAAGCAGCCAUCCUUUAAAGAAAGCGUAACAGCUCACUGAUCGAGUCGGCCUGCGCGGAAGAUGUAACGGGGCUAAAUCACAUACCGAAGCUGCGGAUCAACGACCUUUUCGAAGGUCGGGGGUGGUAGAGGAGCGUUCUGUAAGCCUGUGAAGGUGUGCUGCGAGGCAUGCUGGAGGUAUCAGAAGUGAGAAUGCUGACAUAAGUAACGAUCAAGGGGGUGAGAAUCCCCCUCGCCGAAUGACUAAGGGUUCCUGCGCAACGAUCGUCGACGCAGGGUGAGUCGGACCUAAGGCGAGGCCGAAAGGCGUAGUCGAUGGACAACUGGUUAAUAUUCCAGUACCGGCGCGUAUGGCAAAUUGGGGUGACGGAGAAGGCUAGGCGAGCUUGGCGAUGGUUGUCCAAGUUCAAGCAUGUAGGCUGGAACUUCAGGUAAAUCCGGGUUCCUUAAGGCUGAGAUGUGAUGACGAACCGGCUGCGGUCGGUGAAGUCGUUGAUGCCAUGCUUCCAGGAAAAACCUCUUAGCGUUAAUUACGCGACGCCCGUACCCUAAACCGACACAGGUAGUCAGGUAGAGAAUACCAAGGCGCGUGAGAGAACUCAGGUGAAGGAACUAGGCAAAAUAGCACCGUAACUUCGGGAGAAGGUGCGCCGCUGAUGGUGAUGGACUUCGCGUCCUGAUGGCUGCGACUGUUUACUAAAAACACAGCACUCUGCAAACUCGCAAGAGGACGUAUAGGGUGUGACGCCUGCCCAGUGCUGGAAGGUUAAUUGAUCUUGUUAGACUUCGGUCGAAGCUAGUGACAGAAGCCCCAGUUAACGGCGGCCGUAACUAUAACGGUCCUAAGGUUAAGUAAUGCUAGCCUUAGUAAAACUGAACCAAAUGCGGGAAACUCCUCAAAAAUCGUUCGGUACUCGUUCGGCAAGUCUUUGCCGUUCAGUAAAAAUCCGGCGAACAGGGGGACAAUCCGCAGGGAAGAUUUGCAUGUACCAAAAACCCUCAGAGACUAAUACGUUCAGGGAUCUCCGAUGAAUCUUCAGGCUGAAUGGAUUACAGGCUUCGUGGAUGGUGAAGGAUGUUUUCAUGUGGGCAUUGACACCCACGAGGAAAUGACGGCAGGAUAUCAAGUCCUACCGGAAUUCACCGUCGUACAACACGAGCGCGAUGUGCAGAUUCUGUAUGCACUAAAAGACUAUUUCGAAUGUGGCGUGGUUCGCGUGAACCACGGCGAUCGAAUGGCUUACCGAGUGCGAAAACUCAAGAAUCUGCGUGACAACAUCGUUCCAUUUUUCAUGAAGCACCCUUUGAAAACGAAGAAGAACGUGGACUUUCGAAAGUUCCGAAGCGUUCUUCUGAAAAUGGAAGAGGGAAUUCAUUUGACGAGCGAGGGCGUCGAAGAAAUUCGACAAAUCGCGAACCAGAUGAAUCGAGGAAGUCCAAGAUAGAGUCCGGCUCCGCUGGAAACAACGGAGAAUAACCGAGCGAAAUUCCUUGUCGGGUAAGUUCCGACCUGCACGAAUGGCGUAACGAUGGCCACACUGUCUCCACCUGAGACUCAGUGAAAUUGAAAUCGCGGUGAAGAUGCCGUGUUCCCGCGGCUAGACGGUAAGACCCCGUGAACCUUUACUACAGCUUCACACUGGACUUUGAUUUGUCAUGUGCAGGAUAGGUGGGAGACUGCGAAGCGUGAGCGUUAGCUUGCGUGGAGUCGCCCUUGAAAUACCACCCUUGAUACGUUGAGGUUCUAACUCAGUCCCAUGAGCUGGGACGAGGACAGUGUGUGGUGGGUAGUUUGACUGGGGCGGUCUCCUCCUAAAGAGUAACGGAGGAGCACGAAGGUGCACUCAGCAUGGUCGGAAAUCAUGCGUAGCGUGUAAAGGCAAAAGUGCGCUUGACUGCGAGACAGACAUGUCGAGCAGGGUCGAAAGACGGUCUUAGUGAUCCUGUGGUUCUGAAUGGAAGGGCCAUUGCUUAACGGAUAAAAGGUACUCCGGGGAUAACAGGCUGAUACCGCCCAAGAGUACACAUCGACGGCGGUGUUUGGCACCUCGAUGUCGGCNNNNNNNNNNNNNNNNNNNNNNNNNNNNNNNNNNNNNNNNNNNNNNNNNNNNNNNNNNNNNNNNNNNNNNNNNNNNNNNNNNNNNNNNNNNNNNNNNNNNNNNNNNNNNNUACGAGAGGACCGGAGUGGACGAACCUCUGGUGUUCCGGUUGUCACGCCAGUGGCAUUGCCGGGUAGCUAUGUUCGGAAAGGAUAACCGCUGAAAGCAUCUAAGCGGGAAGCCCACCUCAAGAUUAGAUCUCACAAAUCUUCAAGAUUUCUGUAGGGUCCUUGUAGACUACAAGGUUGAUAGGCGGGAUGUGUAAGCGCUGCGAGGCGUUGAGCUAACCCGUACUAAUUGCCCGUGCGACUUGACCAU